GACGUAGGGGGCCAGCGUUGUUCGGAAUUACUGGGUGUAAAGGGUUCGUAGGCGGUGGUGGCAAGUCGGGAGUGAAAUCUCUGGGCUCAACCCAGAGUCUGCUUCCGAAACUGCUGUGCUUGAGUGUGGGAGAGGCGCGUGGAAUUGCAGGUGUAGCGGUGAAAUGCGUAGAUAUCUGCAGGAACACCCGUGGCGAAAGCGGCGCGCUGGACCACUACUGACGCUGAGGAACGAAAGCUAGGGGAGCAAACAGG
rnacentral:rRNA from 1 species